rnacentral:rRNA from 1 species
AGGAUGAACGCUGGCGGCGUGCCUAAUACAUGCAAGUCGAGCGGUAAGGCCACUUCGGUGGUACACGAGCGGCGGACGGCUGAGUAACACGUAGGAACGUACCCCAAAGUGAGGCAUAAGCACCAGAAAUGGUGUCUAAUACCGCAUGUGGCCUAACAGGCUAAAGCUCCGGCGCUUUGGGAACGGCCUGCGCAUGAUUAGCUUGUUGGUGAGGUAAAAGCUCACCAAGGCAGUGAUCAUUAGCUGGUCUGAGAGGAUGACCAGCCAGACUGGGACUGAGAACGGCCCAGACUCCUACGGGAGGCAGCAGUAGGGAAUUUUCCACAAUGGGCGAAAGCCUGAUGGAGCAACGCCGCGUGCAGGAUGAAGGCUCUAGGGUCGUAAACUGUCUUUUAUCUGUGACGAAUAUGACGGUAGCAGAUGAAUAAGGAUCGGCUAACUCCGUGCCAGCAGCCGCGGU